ACCACAAGCAGCAGGCAGGGGUGGCUUUGCUUCUAGCUGGUCUGUGAGGAGGUUGGUGUGCUGCCGGGCCUGGGAUGACUGACUCCUGAGACCGAAGGCUUCUCCUUGGGGAGCGCUUCAGCACUAAAUAAACCAGGCCACACAAUGUUUAGAAUCCACUCACCGAGCUGUGUAUACAUUUAGUUCAUGGCUCAAAAUUGCUCUGCUGAAGGUCCUAGUAGGGCCCUCCACCCUUGGAUGAAAAAAAUGACCUGGGAAGAUGGGAGUUACUGAUUGGAAAAGGAAAUACUCUCCAUUUAUUGAGCAAUGGGCGUACUUAGAGAAAUGACUAGAUCUGGGUUGGGCCGUGGGAAUGGAUGAUUGGGGUAAGGAAGAGAUGACUGGCACUGAGAAGGACACAGAACAGAGAGCUGGCUGGAAGGUCCAUCCGUGGAAUUGUGGGAAUUACAAAGAAAUAGGGCAGGAAAAGUGGGGAGGAAAGCUGCUAGGUCCCCUGCUGAAUCCUAAGACAAAAGGAGAGAGGACCGUGGCCAGACGGAGUACCAGCCACGUAGUCUUAUGUGACCCUCAAAGGACAGUGGUGUGGAAUGAGCCAUGAGGAGAAGAGGCACCUGAUGGCACACGAAGGAAGAUGCUGGAAAGAACUUCAGGGGAACAGUGCCCCCAGGAGAGCCAGGUGUCCUUUCCAGUGGUGUGGGAUGUUGCAUGGAGUCUCAGAAAUAUUCUGGGGCUUUUCUGAUGUGUUGGAAUAGUGUUACUGACUUCUCAUGAGUGGACUGCAGAAGCUAAGUGAUUUGCACUGUGCAGGUGUCCCUCCCAUCGGACUGCCCUUGAUUUCCCUGUCCUUCACUUGUCCCCCUGGAAGAGGUGAGAAACCAAGGAUAGUUAUUGAAGCCUAGAAAUGAACUCAUUUUUCUGAGACGCAAAGCAUGUUUGCAUCAUUUUAAUGUGUACUCCACACUAGUGACUGUGACCUCCCCUCUCAUUUUCCUGUCUUUCUUUAAAUGGAAAUGGCUCUGAUAUUAUUUCUCGAAUCCUGACUUCUUGAUCAUAGUUCGACAUCUGAUGCCAUCACAUCUUCUGGGAAGGCGUUCCCAAGUAUCGACAUGGUUUCCAGGAAGUUGCAAAGGCUGUACAGGGAGGUCCAUGCACCGUUCACCCAUUUUCCCCUAUGGCUGCACCUUGCCUUACCCCAGAGCAACAGUAAAUGGGCGACUGAGAUUGGGGACAUGUGGAUAUAGUUCCAUGUGAGCGUGUCACACAUGUGGCUUUCUGAAACCACCACCUCAAUCAAGACACAGAACUACUGUCAUGACAAAGAUCACUCUUGUCCUAACUCUUCACCCCCGCACCAUACAAAACACAUUUUGCAUCUCUGUCCUCACCCUUCCCUGCCCACCCCUGCACCACCAUCCCUGACUCCUGGCAACUGUGAGUAGAUUCUCUGUCUCUAUACUUCCGGCAUGUCAAGAAUGUUGUAUAAAUAGAAUCAUACCAUAUGUGAAGCUAUUAGCAUUUAAUGUAAUUAUUGCUAUGUUAGAGCUUAAAUCUGCAAUUUCGUUUUCAGUUUA